GAUGUGCUGUUGUGCGCUUGUUUCGGCGUCUCAAGUGUUGGUGGUCUGGAGCUCAGGAGGCGAUCACAGUCCGGACAGAACAAAUGCCAGUGGAAUAAGGCAGAAAGGAGAUACAAGCUUCCAGGUCUUUGGAAUCACGGCUGUUCCGACCUCCCUCUUUGCAACUUCAUCUGUUGUGCGG